rnacentral:rRNA from 1 species
AGAGUUUGAUCAUGGCUCAGAACGAACGCUGGCGGCAUGGAUUAGGCAUGCAAGUCGAACGCUUGUAGCAAUACAGGAGUGGCGAAAGGGUGAGGAACACGUGAGUAACCUACCCUCAAGUUGGGAAUAACACCGGGAAACUGGUGCCAAUACCGAAUGUGGCUGUAGAACCGCAUGGUUCAACAGCUAAAGAUUUAUCGCUUGAGGAGGGGCUCGCGUCCCAUUAGCUAGUUGGUGAGGUAACGGCUCACCAAGGCAACGAUGGGUAGCUGGUCUGAGAGGAUGGCCAGCCACACUGGGACUGAGACACUGCCCAGACUCCUACGGGAGGCUGCAGUCGAGAAUCUUGGGCAAUGCGCGAAAGCGUGACCCAGCAAUGCCGCGUGCAGGAUGAAGGCCUUCGGGUUGUAACUGCUGUCACCCGGGACGAAGAAUUGACGGUACCGGGAGAGGAAGCCACGGCUAACUACGUGCCAGCAGCCGCGGUAAUACGUAGGUGGCGAGCGU